UACUUUCUUUCGCAUGAAGGAAAGUUGAAGGAUGGCUUCUCGCUAUCACUUACAGAUGGGCCCGCGGCGCAUUAGCUAGUUGGUGAGGUAACGGCUCACCAAGGCGACGAUGCGUAGCCGACCUGAGAGGGUGAUCGGCCACACUGGGACUGAGACACGGCCCAGACUCCUACGGGAGGCAGCAGUAGGGAAUCUUCCGCAAUGGACGAAAGUCUGACGGAGCAACGCCGCGUGAACGAUGAAGGUCUUCGGAUCGUAAAGUUCUGUUGUUAGGGAAGAACAAGUACCGUGCGAAUAGAGCGGUACCUUGACGGUACCUAACGAGGAAGCCCCGGCUAACUACGUGCCAGCAGCCGCGGUAAUACGUAGGGGGCAAGCGUUGUCCGGAAUUAUUGGGCGUAAAGCGCGCGCAGGCGGUUCCUUAAGUCUGAUGUGAAAGCCCACGGCUCAACCGUGGAGGGUCAUUGGAAACUGGGGAACUUGAGGACAGAAGAGGAGAGUGGAAUUCCACGUGUAGCGGUGAAAUGCGUAGAUAUGUGGAGGAACACCAGUGGCGAAGGCGACUCUCUGGUCUGUUUCUGACGCUGAGAGUGCGAAAGCGUGGGUAGCAAACAGA
rnacentral:rRNA from 1 species